AACGAGCGCAACCCUCGCCUCUAGUUGCCAGCAUUCGGUUGGGCACUCUAGAGGGACUGCCGGCGACAAGUCGGAGGAAGGUGGGGAUGACGUCAAAUCAUCAUGCCCUUAUGACCUGGGCUACACACGUGCUACAAUGGGCGGUACAAAGGGCUGCGAACCCGCGAGGGGAGCGAAUCCCAAAAAGACCGCUCUCAGUUCGGAUUGCAGGCUGCAACUCGCCUGCAUGAAGCCGGAAUCGCUAGUAAUCGCGGAUCAGCAUGCCGCGGUGAAUACGUUCCCGGGCCUU
rnacentral:rRNA from 1 species